rnacentral:ncRNA from 1 species
AUAAUGUAUGUGAGCAAGGGAAUCGGCAAAAUGGAUGAAAAACCUCGGGAUAAUCAUUGGCUCUAGCAUGCUAGAACUGGGCUUACAAGGGGAAUCUGACUGUUUAAUAAAAACAUAGCUUUGUGUGUACGCAAAGUGAAUUCUGCCCAGUGCUUGGGACGUUAAGGAAGUAAUUUUAAGUACGCACCUGUAAACGGCGGGAGUAACUAUGACUCUCUUAAGGUAGCCAAAUGCCUCGUCGCCUAAUUAGCGACGCGCAUGAAUGGAGCAACGAGAUUCCCACUGUCCCUGCUCACAGAUUUGCGAACCUACAGCCAAGGGAACGGGCUUGGGACAUGCAGCGGGGAAAGAAGACCCUGUUGAGCUUGACUCUAGCCAAGCACAGGCCUCUGUGACUAUAUCGUAGCGAGGUGGGAGAAAUGUGUGAGACCACUGACAUAGUCGGCGGGGGCACUCGCAAAGCUUGGUGGGGAGUUUGGCUGGGGCGGCACGACUACUAAAACAUAACGUAGACGUCCAAAGGUAAGCUCCGAGGGGAUGGAAACCACUCCGAGAGUAUAAGGGCAAAAGCUUGCUUUAGUUAUUAAUGUAAAUUAAUAAUACUGGAAACAGGGGCCUAGAGAUCCUCUAUGAAACUAAGCAUAGAGGUGACGGAAAAGAUGCCACAGGGAUAACUGGCUUGUGGCGGCCGAGCGUCCAUAGCGACGCCGCUUUUGAUCUCGAGA